AGAGUUUGAUCAUGGCUCAGAACGAACGCUGGCGGCAUGCCUAACACAUGCAAGUCGAACGCGUGUAGCAAUACACGAGUGGCGGACGGGUGAGUAACGCGUGGGAACCUGCCCAGUGGUAGGGAAUAACUGCGGGAAACUGCAGCUAAUACCCUAUAAGCCCUACGGGGGAAAGAUUUAUCGCCAUUGGAGGGGCCCGCGUCGGAUUAGCUAGUUGGUGGGGUAACGGCCCACCAAGGCGACGAUCCGUAGCUGGUCUGAGAGGAUGGUCAGCCACACUGGGACUGAGAUACGGCCCAGACUCCUACGGGAGGCAGCAGUGGGGAAUAUUGGACAAUGGGGGAAACCCUGAUCCAGCAAUGCCGCGUGAGUGAAGAAGGUCUUCGGGUUGUAAAGCUCUUUCGGCGGGGACGAUGGUGACGGUACCCGCAGAAGAAGCCCCGGCUAACUUCGUGCCAGCAGCCGCGGUAAUACGAAGGGGGCUAGCGUUGUUCGGAAUCACUGGGCGUAAAGGGCGCGUAGGCGGCGCGACAAGUCAGAUGUGAAAGCCCCGGGCUCAACCCGGGAAUUGCAUUUGAUACUGUCGUGCUCGAGUCCGGGAGAGGAUGGCGGAAUUCCCAGUGUAGAGGUGAAAUUCGUAGAUAUUGGGAAGAACACCGGUGGCGAAGGCGGCCAUCUGGACCGGAACUGACGCUGAGGCGCGAAAGCGUGGGGAGCAAACAGGAUUAGAUACCCUAGUAGUCC
rnacentral:rRNA from 1 species